GCUUCGCCUCUGUCUCCCACCACGCCGCACGCCCCACGCCGGAAAAGGGAAGGCGAGCCACCUCCGCCCUCCCCUCGCCCCCGCGCUGGUCCCACCGCCGAGCCCAGUUCCCCUCACUUCUCCGUCCAGGCGCCGUCGCCAUCAAUCGAUCUCCCGAGCAAGCGACCUCCCUCCCCGAUCUACUCGUUGGCUAUGGCGGACGAGCCGGAGGGGCGAGGGGCGGGGGAGCGUGGACGCCAACUGGCGCCCCACCCAAGACUCAGAUCCCGCCACCGCGGCCGCCGGAGGCGGGGUUGACCCGAACGCACCGGCGCCCCACCGCCGGAGGUGACUGGCGCUCCGGGCUCCAUCCCGACGCCCGCGCUAGGAUCGUCAGUAAGAUAUCCAGUCGCACUCCUCAUCCAGCUCCAUGUCUCCUGGUGCGGCGGCACAGUGGGAGGAUGUGAACGCGCGGCCGCCCAGGGGUGGUGGUGGUGGUGACCUGCCUGCUCGUCCCUCGUCCUCAUCACCGGCCUCUCCGAGGUCGCUGCUGGGGCAAUCUCCAUGGGCCCUUGAGGAUGGAGUAGGAGGAUGAGCAGCAGCAAAUGAGCCUGAUGGUGAAGAAGCACCUGAUGACCAGAACUCGUUCAAGAGCUCUUUUGUCCUUCCAAAACAGGGUCUUGAUGUCCCCCUUACAGAAAAAUGUUCAUACAUGUUCCUGCAUGAUGCGUGUGUGCAUGUUGGAUGGUCAUAUUCUAGUGUACUAGCUAGCUAGAUGCUGCGCUCGCUACUUACAUGUUUUCUGAUGCCGCAACAAAGGACUAUAUGUGGUUUCUUCAGUGGGACUGUUGCUGUCGCUCCUCAUGUUCAAUAACAUUUCAGCAUUGGACCUGCUAGUCACCCAAGCCAAGCCUCGCAUCGCUUCAAUAAAGCGAUACUUCUUCCAAUCAACCCCUACUUCGGCUCUGCUCUUUUUUCCAUCUUCUCUUAUUUAAGCUAAGAAAGAUUCUGAGUUUGCAUCCAUCUCAUUACACUAGCUAGCACAAUAUAUUAGUUAAUGCAACUCUACUACAUAUCAAUUUCCCCUACUGGAUUGGUUCUAUAUUUUUAAAGUUGUUUCGUGGUGCAUGAGCCCAACCUGAAGAAAUAUAGGCUUAUGAUGACUAUUUUCCUUCUUAAGUAAUCAUAGUUGUUGGCUUCGGUAGCUUGCUGAAUAUGCUUUAGUUAUAUAUAGAAAUGACGUGCCUUCUAUGCUUAAAUGAUUGUUUGGCUCUAUAUAAUUGUUGACAUGAAUAUCUUGACUUCCCAAACAAGUAUUGGGCUGUACCUAUGCAUACAGAUUAUCCUAACAGAACUAAAAAUAAAAAUUGAAGCAUGAAAUAAGCAAUAAGUGGCUGAUUUUUAUUUGCAUGUUAAGCGAAAAGUUGUAGCCAAGGCUUAUAUAUUACAAAAUAUUGUCACACCUCUGAGCUUCUACUGUUGUUAGGGACAUCGUAGUGUGAUCUUCAUGAUUUUUCGCUUGAAGAUGUACUGAUUCAUUAGUCAAGCAGAGACCGAAGUCAUCUUUUGCUACUGCUAGCUCUAUGGAUGUUUAUUUACGUGCAACUUCUGCCAGCUCUAACUUGGUUAUAUAGUAGUUCAAUUCAGUCAAUCUGUUGGAACUAGUUUGUCUAUUACUUGUAUCCAGAUUUUAUAUCCUGCCCUAUGCCAUUGUCGACUUGCUUAGGUACAUAAUUGUUAUCUCUUGCAAUCUGGUAUUGAUGAUUGUCAAUGUAUUCAUUUAUACCUUUCUAGUGUACCUUGUAUGUGACCCAGCUGAUCUGUAUAUCAAUGCUCUGUUUCCAAUAGAUGUAUGCUGAUGCCUGAUGGCUGAUUCCUUAAAACUUCACUGUUGCAGUAGCAUUUUUCCUUAGUGCAUAGAUGUAUGAGCGAUCACUUAUGCUUGAAACCUUGCUCUCUUUCCCAGGAACCAUCGUGGUCUGCGUCACUACUGGGGCAGGAGAGGAAAGACUGUUGGUGUCUCCAGGAAGCGAUAAACUGCUUCACAAGGAUCCCCGCAUAGCUUCACUACUACUGUGUUGGUCCAUUUCCAGAAUCGUAAGGAGUGUUCUUGUUUAUACGAUUACCUUGGAUGAUGCUUUUGCUUAAGGAGAGGCUCAAGAAGAUCAAGGAGCUCCGCAUCCGAGUUUCAGCCAUCCUCUACAGCAAGGAGCUCUGGGCCAAAGGAGCAAGCAGCGCUGCUAGUUCCUUGAUGCCAGAUCGAGUAAGAUGGCGCACCAUGGCGUGUGGUGGCGUAUUUUGCUUCCGAGAACAGUACUGUUUAUUUGAAGUGAGAUGUACUCGUCUAGUGCCUGGCAAAAAAAUGAAGGAUGAAGUGUCAUGUACUGUCUAUGUUGUAGUGAGCUGUAGUAGGAGUGAAAUGAAAAUGUAUCUGCUGUUGUAUGUGCUAUUUCGCUGUAAUGUAUUGUGUACAUUUUACUUGAACAUUAAAUUCUCCAGAAAAAAUGUUCUUACUGGACCUGAUAGUGGCCACGGCCCAAAUAUACUUGUACUAUUAAGAUGCCAUGGCCCAAAA